AUGGGGGGACAACUUUUCAAAAGGAAAGCUAAUACCGCAUACGUCCUACGGGAGAAAGCAGGGGACCUUCGGGCCUUGCGCUAAUAGAUGAGCCUAGGUCGGAUUAGCUAGUUGGUGGGGUAAAGGCUCACCAAGGCGACGAUCCGUAACUGGUCUGAGAGGAUGAUCAGUCACACUGGAACUGAGACACGGUCCAGACUCCUACGGGAGGCAGCAGUGGGGAAUAUUGGACAAUGGGCGAAAGCCUGAUCCAGCCAUGCCGCGUGUGUGAAGAAGGUCUUCGGAUUGUAAAGCACUUUAAGUUGGGAGGAAGGGUUGUACAUUAAUACUCUGCAAUUUUGACGUUACCGACAGAAUAAGCACCGGCUAACUCUGUGCCAGCAGCCGCGGUAAUACAGAGGGUGCAAGCGUUAAUCGGAAUUACUGGGCGUAAACCGCGCGUAGGUGGUUUGUUAAGUUGGAUGUGAAAGCCCCGGGCUCAACCUGGGAACUGCAUCCAAAACUGGCAAGCUAGAGUACGGUAGAGGGUGGUGGAAUUUCCUGUGUAGCGGUGAAAUGCGUAUAUAUA
rnacentral:rRNA from 1 species